rnacentral:rRNA from 1 species
CCUACGGGAGGCUGCAGUGAGGAAUAUUGGUCAAUGGGCGCGAGCCUGAACCAGCCAAGUAGCGUGAAGGAUGACUGCCCUCCGGGUUGUAAACUUCUUUUAUAAAGGAAUAAAGUGAGGCACGUGUGCCUCUUUGUAUGUACUUUAUGAAUAAGGAUAGGCUAACUCCGUGCCAGCAGCCGCGGUAAUCCGGAGGAUCCGAGCGUUAUCCGGAUUUAUUGGGUUUAAAGGGAGCGUAGGUGGGUUGUUAAGUCAGUUGUGAAAGUUUGCGGCUCAACCGUAAAAUUGCAAUUGAUACUGGCAGCCUUGAGUACAGUUGAGGUAGGCGGAAUUCGUGGUGUAGCAGUGAAAUGCUUAGAUAUCACGAAGAACACCGAUUGCGAAGGCAGCUUACUGGACUGCAACUGACGUUGAUGCUCGAAAGUGUGGGUAUCAAACAGGAUUAGAUACCCUAGUAGUC